GACGAACGCUGGCGGCGUGCCUAAUACAUGCAAGUCGAACGGUCUUUUCUAUGGAAGCUUGCUUCCACUGAGAAGAUAGUGGCGAACGGGUGAGUAACACGUGGGUAACCUGCCCAUAAGAGGGGGAUAACAUCCGGAAACGGGUGCUAAUACCGCAUAGUUUUCUUGAUCGCAUGAUUGAGAAAGGAAAGACGGCCUUUGUGCUGUCGCUUAUGGAUGGACCCGCGGCGUAUUAGGUAGUUGGUGAGGUAACGGCUCACCAAGACGAUGAUACGUAGCCGACCUGAGAGGGUGAUCGGCCACAUUGGGACUGAGACACGGCCCAAACUCCUAAGGGAGGCAGCAGUAGGGAAUCUUCCGCAAUGGACGAAAGUCUGACGGAGCAACGCCGCGUGAGUGAAGAAGGUUUUCGGAUCGUAAAGCUCUGUUGUCAGAGAAGAACAAGUUGGAGAGUAACUGCUCCAGCCUUGACGGUAUCUGACCAGAAAGCCACGGCUAAUUACGUGCCAGCAGCCGCCGUAAUAC
rnacentral:rRNA from 1 species